ACGGAAGGCAGCAGUGAGGAAUAUUGGUCAAUGGACGGAAGUCUGAACCAGCCAAGUCGCGUGAAGGAUGAAGGUAUUAUGUAUUGUAAACUUCUUUAGCAGUGGAGUAAUAAGGGGAUCGCGAUCCCUGAUGCAAGUACACUGAGAAUAAGGAUCGGCUAACUCCGUGCCAGCAGCCGCGGUAAUACGGAGGAUCCGAGCGUUAUCCGGAUUUAUUGGGUUUAAAGGGUGCGCAGGCGGCUUUUUAAGUCAGUGGUUAAAUCGUGACGCUCAACGUCAUCACGCCAUUGAUACUGGAGAGCUUGAUUGCGGUCGAGGUUUGCGGAAUUCGUUGUGUAGCGGUGAAAUGUAUAGAUAUGACGAAGAACACCGAUUGCGUAGGCAGCAGACCAGGCCGUAAAUGACGCCCAUGCACGAAAGUGCGGGGAUCGAACAGGAUUAGAUACCCUGGUA
rnacentral:rRNA from 1 species